UAGAGAUAGAGCCUUCCCCUUCGGGGGACAAAGUGACAGGUGGUGCAUGGUUGUCGUCAGCUCGUGUCGUGAGAUGUUGGGUUAAGUCCCGCAACGAGCGCAACCCUUACACUUAGUUGCCAGCAUUAAGUUGGGCACUCUAAGUUGACUGCCGGUGACAAACCGGAGGAAGGUGGGGAUGACGUCAAAUCAUCAUGCCCCUUAUGAUUUGGGCUACACACGUGCUACAAUGGACAA
rnacentral:rRNA from 1 species